UGUACAUCAGCUAUAUCGAUAUCGUUGAAACACGAUGUACAUGUAGACGCAUAUCGGUGGUCUUUCUGUAACAAUGCUGACUCUCUGUUAAUUCUUAGCUGCCUCUCUGUCAUAAACAAGAAAAAUGAUUGAUCGUACGUAGUUCACAAAACAGGUCAAGUUUUAAAGGAAGACAUCCCGACUAGACGGUGAAGUUAGCCACAUGUGAGUGCGCCCAUCCAAAAUGUGUGUUCAUCACAUCAUUGGUGACUUUGAAAAGCUGGCAUACUCACAAUGGACCUCCAAUACAUAGUCACAUAGAGCGCACCGACCGUGGCGCAGUUUGACAAUUUCAAGAUACUUCUUUCGAAGUAAUGGCGGGUCCUGUAGAGAACCCCGGGAAACAACUGAAAGCAGAAGGGAAACAUGAAGAUGAGUGGAAGUAAGAAGUGAAAACAGUCUUGUUUAUAAUGGAUGAUUGCGCAGAUCUUCGUACCUGAAAAUGUAAAAGAAAUAGUUAAAUUGUUUGUGAUAUUAUUGUCAAGAUACCGCCGUGGCUUUGUGAACGUAAAUAAGGCUCAUGCUGACCAUGUGCGCAUCUUCUAACAAGUAACCUUUACUUUGUCAAUUAUGACUAGAUAUCAAAGGUAAAAUAAACUGUCACUCAACGUAUACAACGGAUAUCUCACUAGCACAGAUAAUUAAUUACAGAAUUGCGCGAUACAUACACCUAUUGAAAUCAAUCGGAAACACCUUUACAACUAAACUAUUGUCCUUAUCUAGUUAUCAAAGUCUGUACGAACGAAUUCGCAAAAAGAGCUUUACCUAGAUAUCCUUAAAACAAAGGCAAUUAUUUGACUAAUCUAUAUCCUAUCGUACGACGUCAUUUUAUAUCAGACCUACCUACAUAUAUUUUUACGACGAUAGACGCAUAUUAUUAGAAUUAAUAUAAUCUCAAACCGGCCUGUAAGGCCGCUCAGAAACCUACAUGGCCUAUUAACAUCACAAACUACAUCAAGUAUUGAGUCAAUUUAGAUCUGAGAUCCGGCCUUAACGACGCCUCUACAAAUCAGAGAUUACCCUAUACUAUCUACUAUUAUUAAACUAAUCUAGAUCAGGUCUGCAAGGGCGCUGCCACCUCCUGCUACACCGGUACUUGCAGCAGUCGUGAACAAUCCGGUUGGAGGGCCUAAGCAGCCUUCGAGACAGAACCACCCGGUACAGCGGGGGCUCCGUUUCGCGCCUGUGUGCUCGUCUAACCUGUAGCAUGUUUCUGCUAGACCGACAUACGCAGGUCUUCGGGCAAGGGUUUUCUUCAAACCGGAGGUCGAUUUCUCGAGCUGCAUUAUAUGACUUCAGCAGCUGUCGAUUUAGAACCUCGUUGUACAGCGACUGUUCCGUUCGGCGUCUGCGUGCGGGCGGAAUCUGAAGCAUAUUACUGCCAGACCGACACACGCAAGUCGCAGGGCAAGGAUUUUUAUCGAACUUGAGGUCGAUUUCCCGCGCAUCAUCGCCGUCUGUGCCAGAAUCACUGUCGUCUGAAGAGCUGUUAGACGCUGAGCUAGAACUGCAGCUUCUAGAAUCCGAGUCGCUAGAUGACCCGGAUGACGAUUCGUCACUGUCCGAGUCCGAUUCGCUAGAUGACCCGGAUGUCGAAUCGUCACUGUCCGAGUCCGAUUCGCUAGAUGACCCGGAUGUUGAUUCGUCAAUGUCCGAAUCAGAGCUAGACGAGUCACUUGACUCGCUCUCACUCGAGCUGGUUUUCUCCUGAGAAGAACCGGACUCGGGACUUGACGAUCCCUUAUUGCUGGACUGUGUGAAGUCCGUACGUUCCUUUUCCAGGCGGUUGUAUCGGCGGCGUUUGAUCGUUACAUCACAACCUUCGUUAUCAGAGAGUUCAUCAUCGGACACGAUUUCUACAAUACAAAUCAACUCACAAUUGUUAAUGCUGGUAACAUUUGGGAAUAAAGUCUAGGUCUGAUAGACUAAAACAUAAUCUAGUUGGUUAGGAAUAAGGACUAAUUUAAUUUUUACUUUUUCUUUACAGACAAAGAGGUAUUUCUGCGUACUUAAAAUGCUUUAUUUUUUGUGAUUCUGUGCGUGUUAUUUUGUUGUUGUUUUUAUUGAACACUCACCCUGACUUUCUGAUUGGCGUCGCAAUGGAGCCGACUUGCGUCUUGCCACAACCGUGUCCUCUGAGUCACUCUCUGAAUCAGAGCUGUAACCGGAUGUAGCUGCCAGGAACGAGGCAGCAACCGACUCGUGCGUCCAGCUUCUGACAUCAUCAGGGACGUCAUCAUCGGAAUCGCUGUCCGAGUCGGAGAGCACGAGGUCUUCCUCGAGCAGAUCAACCGAGACCGACACAGCUUUCUCUGCACACAGGACACCUGUCAGGAUUGAGGAAAAAAUAAAUUUUCAGUUUCCUGUUAAUUUCGUAUGUGACCCUUACAUGAUCCGGAUCAAUUGCUGGAGAAAGAUUGCGUAAUGUUACGGACACCCGGAAGAUUAUUCAACUGAGCGGUGAUACGAAGGUUGAUCACCAUUGCACAUUCAGGACAUUGAGCACAGAAAGAGUGUUUAUGCAUGUGUAUAAAACGCCACAACACCGUCAAUUACAAACACCCGUGCGUUACAUGUCUUUGUUUAAAUAUUUAUGAGAAGAGAAACUUGGUCAGUUUAAUAAGGAUGAUAAUGAUUAUGAUGAUUUCCGAAUAUUUUGAUAAAAGAUAAAACUAACUUUACUCAAGGUAUAAGUAAAUAUUGACACGAUAAAAAAUUACAGCCUUUCUAAAAAGGACUCUACCAUCUAUUCCUAUUUGAUAAAUUUCAAUUCACAUCAUGCUACAGCAAAAUGUAUUUUGGUAGGCUUCAUUUAUGUACAUUGAAUGUGUCGAAUUUACACAAUAAAUAUUAACAAUGAAACAUAUGAUAACAGUUAAAUUAACUCACCUGCAAAAAUUAAAGAAAUAUUGCUUAUAAAACAAAUUAAUUAAAUAUUUUGUAUGUUAAGAUAUUUUUAUUUCUUAUUUUC